GACGAACGCUGGCGGCGUGCUUAACACAUGCAAGUCGAACGGAAAGGCCCUGCUUUUGUGGGGUGCUCGAGUGGCGAACGGGUGAGUAACACGUGAGUAACCUGCCCUUGACUUUGGGAUAACUUCAGGAAACUGGGGCUAAUACCGGAUAGGAGCUCCUGCUGCAUGGUGGGGGUGGGAAAGUUUCGGCGGUUGGGGAUGGACUCGCGGCUUAUCAGCUUGUUGGUGGGGUAGUGGCUUACCAAGGCUUUGACGGGUAGCCGGCCUGAGAGGGUGACCGGCCACAUUGGGACUGAGAUACGGCCCAGACUCCUACGUGAGGCAGCAGUGGGGAAUAUUGCACAAUGGGCGGAAGCCUGAUGCAGCAACGCCGCGUGCGGGAUGACGGCCUUCGGGUUGUAAACCGCUUUCGCCUGUGACGAAGCGUGAGUGACGGUAAUGGGUAAAGAAGCACCGGCUAACUACGUG
rnacentral:rRNA from 1 species